rnacentral:rRNA from 1 species
UCUACCUGAUCCGAGGUCAAAUUUUCAAAAGUUGGGGGUUUAACGGCAGGGCACCGCCAGGGCCUUCCAGAGCGAGGGUUUAACUACUACGCUCGGGGUCCUGGCGAGCUCGCCACUAGAUUUCAGGGCCUGCUUCGUUAGAAGCAGUGCCCCAACACCAAGCAAUGCUUGAGGGUUGAAAUGACGCUCGAACAGGCAUGCCCUCCGGAAUACCAGAGGGCGCAAUGUGCGUUCAAAGAUUCGAUGAUUCACUGAAUUCUGCAAUUCACAUUACUUAUCGCAUUUCGCUGCGUUCUUCAUCGAUGCCAGAACCAAGAGAUCCGUUGUUGAAAGUUUUGAUUCAUUUGUGUUUUUUCUCAGAGUUUCAGUGUAAAAACAAGAGUUAACUUGGCCGCCGGCGUGCCUUCUCCUCACCGGGGUGAGGGGCCUACUAGAGGCCAGCAUGCGCCGAGGCAACAAAAGGUAUAAGUUCACAAAGGGUUUCUGGGUGCGCCUGGGGCGCGUUCCAGCAAUGAUCCCUCCGCAGGUUCACCCUACGGAAG